UAGGGAAUCUUCCACAAUGGACGCAAGUCUGAUGGAGCAACCCGCGUGAGUGAAGAAGGUCUUCGGAUCGUAAAGCUCUGUUGUUGGUGAAGAAGGAUAGAGGCAGUAACUGGUCUUUAUUUGACGGUAAUCAACCAGAAAGUCACGGCUAACUACGUGCCAGCAGCCGCGGUAAUACGUAGGUGGCAAGCGUUGUCCGGAUUUAUUGGGCGUAAAGCGAGCGCAGGCGGAAUGAUAAGUCUGAUGUGAAAGCCCACGGCUCACCGUGGAACUGCAUCGGAAACUGUCAUUCUUGAGUGCAGAAGAGGAGAGUGGAACUCCAUGUGUAGCGGUGGAAUGCGUAGAUAUAUGGAAGAACACCAGUGGCGAAGGCGGCUCUCUGGUCUGCAACUGACGCUGAGGCUCGAAAGCAUGGGUAGCGAACAGGAUUAGAUACCCUGGUAGUCCAUGCCGUAAACGAU
rnacentral:rRNA from 1 species